CAUAUUAUGCGAUGAUUGUCUAUGGAAGAGUUGGAAGAUGAGGAUGUAAGUAUAAGAUGGUAAACAAAUUGGGGGUAAACUAAGAAUUGGACACUUUUCUUAUUAUUAUUUCAAACUCCCUUAGGCUUUAGUUGUUUAACCCCAUCAACAAUUAUAUUGGGGAUAAUCUGAGUAUCCUCUAUUGCUUUCAAAUAUCUAAGUCUUGAGAUUCUAUAGAAAUUACCAUCUUUAUUUUCUAGAAGUCAUAUCAUUAUCCAACACAACAUGGAGAAUAGUUUAUCAUCAAACCUUCAUCUAGGAAAGAUUUUUGUAGAGACCAUCUAUGAUAAUUUUACAGGAUCGAAGAAUAAUGUACCUAACCUUUGCUCUAGAAUCACUCGUAAGUAUAAGAUGACAAACUAAGAGUAGUGAUAAUUAGUUUUGCAUAUUUUUUGCUCUUUUUUUUCUAAACGUUAUAACCAGAAAUGCAAGAGAAUAUAAAAAUGAAAAACAAAUGUUACAGAAAUAAAAGGAGUAGGGAUAGAGAAAAUCACACUGACAUUUAUCCUGCUUCACCUUCACCAACUGAAGGCUACAUCUAGUCCGCUUGACUUGUAUCAAUAGAUAUACACUAUGUAAUUUGAGUAUCACUUAGAAAUCUCACACAUAAAUUAUCUCAAGUUGAUCCGUCAAAUUCCUCAAAAAUAAAGUAUAACACUUUCCCUAUUUUACAAGUUCACUCAUCAAAUCCUACGGUGAUUAUUAUUUGUGAUAAGGGAUGUAAAAGUUAAGUUUGGCUAAGGUAUCAUUUUUAUAAUAGGCG
rnacentral:lncRNA from 1 species